UUGGAGGGCAAGUCUGGUGCCAGCAGCCGCGGUAAUUCCAGCUCCAAUAGCGUAUAUUAAAGUUGCUGCAGUUAAAAAGCUCGUAGUUGAAUUUCGGGACCAAUAUGUCGGUCGUGCUUUUGUACGUACUGAUAUAAUUGGUUUCUCCCUUCUGAAGAACCUUGAUGUCAUUAAUUUGGUGUCUUGGGGAAUCAGGACUGUUACUUUGAAAAAAUUAGAGUGUUUAAAGCAGGCUCGCGCUUGAAUACAUUAGCAUGGAAUAAUGAAAUAGGACGUUUGAUUCUAUUUUGUUGGUUUCUAGGAUCGACGUAAUGAUUAAUAGGGAUAGUUGGGGGCAUUAGUAUUCAAUUGUCAGAGGUGAAAUUCUUGGAUUUAUUGAAGACUAACUACUGCGAAAGCAUUUGCCAAGGAUGUUUUCAUUAAUCAAGAACGAAAGUUAGGGGAUCGAAGACGAUCAGAUACCGUCGUAGUCUUAACCAUAAACUAUGCCGAC
rnacentral:rRNA from 1 species